rnacentral:rRNA from 1 species
CCUACGGGAGGCAGCAGUGGGGGAUAUUGCACAAUGGGGGAAACCCUGAUGCAGCGACGCCGCGUGGGCGAAGAAGUAUUUCGGUAUGUAAAGCCCUAUCAGCAGGGACGAAGAAAUGACGGUACCUGAGUAAGAAGCACCGGCUAAAUACGUGCCAGCAGCAGCGGUAAUACGUAUGGUGCAAGCGUUAUACGGCUUUACUGGGUGUAAAGGGAGAGCAGGCGGCACGGCAAGCCUGAGGGGACAGCCCGCGGACCAACCGCGGGACUGCAUUGGGAACUACCGGGCUGGAGUGCCGGAGAGGUCGGCGGAAGCCCUAGUGUAGCGGUGAAAUGCGUAGAUAUUAGGAGGAAUACCAGUGGCGAAGGCGGCCUACUGGACGGUGACUGACGCUGAGGCUCGAAAGCGUGGGGAGCAAACAGGAUUAGAUACCCGAGUAGUC